rnacentral:lncRNA from 1 species
AUGUCAUUAUGUGGCAUAUAUAUAGAUAUAUAUAUAUUUAUACACACAUAUAUGUGUGUAUAUGUAUAUAUAUAUAUAUAUAUAUAUGAAUGAUUCAGGAUAAUGCAAUUUUUCUAUGAAUUUUUGAAGUCCCCCACCUCCCCAAAACACAUGUUGGAAAGCAAAUUAUAGGAGCACAGGCACUUGAACUUGCAGACAGUUUAGUGGCAAGUCCAGUGAACUAAUAUCUGCUAGUUUCAUUUAACUACUUCUAGCAAUAUUUCAGAGUCCUAAGAUAUAUUAUUUACUUUCUCAUUCUUUUAUACUGGUUGGGACAAAUUGAAAAAUUGACCCAAGAAGUCAAAUGAAGCAAAUUAUAGUAUUAGCUUUGUUAUUGGGUUGUAGUAUGAUAGGGAACCAGUAGAACAAAACUGGGCUUUUUUUUUUCUUUUAAGGGAACAAGCCCAUACAGUGGGGUUGACUGACCUCCUCACUGGGUGCCAGACAGGAGGGAAAAACAGUGCACAGACCUUGAUGGAUCUGCUGUGCAUUUUGUUUGCUGAUGCUACAGGGGCUACAAAAGUGAAUUCUACUGUGCUUUAGUUCCAGAAGGCCACAAACAAGAGAGAAGCUCACUAUAGACAGCACUGCUUCUACAGAGUUCACUGAUAACAUGAGCCAAUCAUUACUCAUUCCCUUGGAGGAGAAUCAGCUAACAAGUUGGCAAUAGCAGACACUUCUUCCUAAGAAAUGUGGAAUUAUUUGGAAAAAGUUCUUUUUCAGGACACAGUGGGAAUAAAGGAAGAAGUUGCAGGUAUAGCUUUGUUAUUGAAAAUCGCAGAAGAUAAAAAUCUGUGGUGAAAUACCAUAAUGAAAUGACUUGAUUUUUGGAAGAUUUUUCGGGAUUACAGAAAAUGUGAGAUCAUUAAUCAAAUUGUCUAAUAUAAGCACUAAUGAUGAAAUAUAGUGUAUUAUAGUAAAUCUCCUGUGGAUUUAUGUUGGUCCAAUUACAGUAGGCUAAUCAGAUGUUUGGAAAGUAACAUUCUACUCAUUGAUUUUCUCUGUUAGAGGAAUAGUGUCUUACAUUCUUAUCAUCUAAGACUUGACAGCUAAUUACUAUCUAUUUUGUUCAAUUGCACCAAAUUUUUCUAUCCUUUUAAUAAUGCAAACUCAACACAAAUAUUGAUUACUAGAAGAGGCCCUUAAACUUGAAUUUGAGACAUUCAGGUUGUGCCAGAGAAGCAACUCAAUGCAAUGAUCUAAAGGGUGAGGGUAAGCCACAGAUGACGACGACGGAGAUGGUGUGAGCACAACAGCAUUGUCACAUGGCAGAUUUAAAGUGUGCGGGUGAGGCCAUAUCUAUGUGGAAGAGAAGGAGAGCCACACAGAGCGUGGCAUACAAAACAGGCUGCAAAUGAUGUGUUGAGGCAGAUGCCUUCAUUUAAUAAAGUCAGUAAGGUGUUAGUCUUUGUAAGUGUU